GCUUCGAGUGACCCAUGUGCUGGCUGGGAGAACCAGUGUGGUAACGGCGCCUGUGCUGUCACUAAUGGCGUGCCGUCCUGCAAGUGUGAUGACGGUUAUACCGGAUACUCCUGUACUACAAACGUGAAGGACCCAUGUGCCGGCUGGGAGGGACAGUGUGGUAAUGGUGCCUGUGUUGUUUCUAACGGCGUGCCGUCCUGCAAGUGUCAAGACGGCUAUACCGGAUACUCUUGCUUAUCCCCUGUUCAGGGUUGACUGGAGCAGCAAACUGCAGCACAGAAAGCCAAUAAUCUCUUUUAAGGGGAAAGUACAACCAAAAGUGUUAUAGAGAUUAAAAAUUGUUCACACUGAUGACUGUACUUUUUUGCAAAGAAAACAUUUAUCAUUUUUGUUUCUUUUACACAAAACGAAUAAAUAGGAAAUUGAAAUAAGAAUUUAGGGCUGCUUACAAACGGGCUCAUUGAAAAUCAGAACCAUCAACUUGAGUAAAAAUUGACAAGUAGCAGACCAACGAGGGCCCCAUCCAACAUAACCACAGGUUAUGUAUCCAGCUUCCAAUAGAUGUGCACACCAAGGACACACCGUUAUCUGACGUCAGAGUUCUUUGACAUGUUUUCAAAAGCUGAAGAUACAGUAUCUACUAUAUCGACAUAUGCAAUACAAAAUAACACAAAUAACAACAAAAAUACCAACUGUAACAACCAUUACAGAUUCAACAGCAUGACCAUCAAUAAAAACAAUAAAAACAGUAAAAACAAUAUCGGAAAGAGCUUUCUGGUUUGAAUCAAAUCUUAAAAUCUUCGAAACAAAGAUUAGCAGCACAACUCAAAACUCAGGGAACUUUUCAGCUUGUUUGAUAUCUAUUGAAGAUGAUUCGGAAGAAGAACAUUAUGAUUUUUACAUUGUGUUAUAUUCUAAAAUUCGAAUAAAAUAUGUUGGCAAAGAAUAUUAA